rnacentral:rRNA from 1 species
GACAGAGGAUGCAAGCGUUAUCCGGAAUGAUUGGGCGUAAAGCGUCUGUAGGUGGCUUUUCAAGUCCGCCGUCAAAUCCCAGGGCUCAACCCUGGACAGGCGGUGGAAACUACCAAGCUGGAGUAUGGUAGGGGCAGAGGGAAUUUCCGGUGGAGCGGUGAAAUGCAUUGAGAUCGGAAAGAACACCAACGGCGAAAGCGCUCUGCUGGGCCGAAACUGACACUGAGAGACGAAAGCUAGGGGAGCAAAUGGG